GGUGGUGGUGGCUGAUUGCUCGACUCUUGCAUGUCACAAAUUUCCUCGGAUCUUUUAAGAUGAAGGGGAAUAAAACAAAAGUUUCUGCUUCCCAAAGUCAGGUUACAGAUUAUGAGUUACAAAGGCUUCAAAGAUUAAAGUUCAUUGCAGAAAGAAUAAUGUCAGCCCAAGGAUCGGGAUCCUUAGCGAAUAAGAUACUUCAACAAAAAACAAAAGACCUACUUUCUCCAAGUGCAAGGUAGACAGAAGAUGAAUCCACGUCAGAGUAUGAUGGUGAGGAGGAGGGUGAAACUAUGGAAGAUGACAGUCUUGCGUCUGGAAAAAGAAAGGUCUCAAAGAAACUACAUUUAAUUCGCACACGUAAAACGGCUAUUGUGGAGAUGAAUAGCCA